rnacentral:rRNA from 1 species
AUUGAACGCUGGCGGCAGGCCUAACACAUGCAAGUCGAGCGGUAGAGAGGUGCUUGCAUCUCUUGAGAGCGGCGGACGGGUGAGUAAUGCCUAGGAAUCUGCCUAGUGGUGGGGGAUAACGUUCGGAAACGGACGCUAAUACCGCAUACGUCCUACGGGAGAAAGCGGGGGAUCUUCGGACCUCGCGCCAUUAGAUGAGCCUAGGUCGGAUUAGCUAGUUGGUGAGGUAAUGGCUCACCAAGGCGACGAUCCGUAACUGGUCUGAGAGGAUGAUCAGUCACACUGGAACUGAGACACGGUCCAGACUCCUACGGGAGGCAGCAGUGGGGGAAUAUUGGACAAUGGGCGAAAGACCUGAUCCAGCCAUGCCGCGUGUGUG